rnacentral:rRNA from 1 species
GACGAACGCUGGCGGCGUGCUUAACACAUGCAAGUCGAGCGGUAAGGCCCUUUCGGGGGUACACGAGCGGCGAACGGGUGAGUAACACGUGGGUGACCUGCCCUCAGCUCUGGGAUAAGCCUGGGAAACCCGGGUCUAAUACUGGAUAUGACUCCAUGACGCAUGUUGUGGGGUGGAAAGCCUUGUGCGGCUGAGGAUGGGCCCGCGGCCUAUCAGCUUGUUGGUGGGGUGANGGCCUACCAAGGCGACGACGGGUAGCCGGCCUGAGAGGGCGACCGGCCACACUGGGACUGAGACACGGCCCAGACUCCUACGGGAGGCAGCAGUGGGGAAUCUUGCGCAAUGGGCGAAAGCCUGACGCAGCGACGCCGCGUGAGGGAUGACGGCCU